UCUCAUACACAUCCAGGAGUACACUUGCCCUAUUGCUCACUUCUUCCAUCCUUUUUUUCAGACAUUCUUAAUCUCAUCAGUCUAUGAUGUUGGUAUUACAAAGACAAUGUAAGUUUGGGGAGAGAUGUAUAGACAUGGUGGGCUCAUGCUACUACAUGAGAACUGUGUGCUUGCUUCUCACUGCCUCUUCUAUUCCCAAAUUUGCAGCUGGGAGUCCUUGUAGCUCUCCUAAAUUCUUUCUUUUAUAAGUGUAAUGUCAUGGAUCACCUCCCAAAAGUAAGAUGAUAAGCAGCAUUAUUCUUUAUUCAUUCAUCAGAGCCAGUGGCUCAGCUCUUCUCUGAUCCUUGACCUGUAAGGAACCUCUUAUAUUUGCUUUUCCAUUUUUAUCUCUGAUAUUCAUCCAGUGUACCAUGUUCAGUUCUCAAGGGAGAGUUCCUGUGAGACCAAAAAUGCAAAAAAAAAAAAUGUGUUCCUUGUACCUUGAUGGCAGCUUCUUCUGGAAUGUAAGGCAGGAAGUCCCAAGAUAAUGGAUUCUAGUUUUCCUGCAAGUGCUGUGCACUUCCCUGUCCCUAGGAAAUACGAAGUACAACUAAGAGAAUGUGCUUUCCUCUUAAAAUAGGAAAUUUCUCUCUGUGUCUCUAUUGGUCAUCACUGUCUCUUACUCAGAGGAACAAACCUCAUUUUGGUUGUUCCCUGCGUGGUUUCCAGAAGAUUUCUAGGUAUACAUAAUCAGGUAGACAAAAUUUGGGCCUGAAAACUCUACUUAGCAUAUUUGUGAUUGGAGUCCUGACUUGAGUAGAUUAGGGUAUGAGGGAUGAUGGAUAGAGACCUGAUCUCAAUCCUCUCAGUAAGGAUGACAAAUUUCACUAUAGCCUGACUCCUCGUUUACUGAGACACUGGUUUGACCUGCACUGACAUUUUGAACUUUGUCUUCCUUCUUCUCCAGGAUACCGGAUCCUUUAUGAGUUCUGUUUCAGUUACAGUGUUAUUGCUGUUAAGAGACACCAUGACCAAUUUAUUAUAUAAUGGGAGAAAUUUCAUCUCUGGUCCAAUCUAUCUGGAGUUCUGUUUUUGGGCAUCUCUUUCUUUAUGUUAGAUCCUCGACCUUUUUACUGUGCCUCCUGAUUUACUUCACUAAGGUCCAGGAUACAGUUUGUAUUACAAAAUUGUGCUGAUGCGGGAUUCAAUGAGAGUGUCACUAUGAAAUAUGUGAAAAGAAGGUAUGUAUUAUUAAGACAAAUUAUUCUGUAAUAGGUUUUAGAAGUCUGAAUAUGUGUGCUGUUCUACUUUAUGUAGGACCUCAGAACCUUUCUGUACAUCUGUGGCCUCCAAGCACUUGGCAGUCUAUUACUAAGCUCUGGGACCUUGUCCUCUUCCUGAAUGUGUAUUGAUGUUUCACUGGCUAAACUAAGGAUAGACAAAUGUUCUGUGCUUCUUUCCAUCAAAAAUUUUCUCCAUUUUUUUUCAGAUUUUCUCCAUCUUCUCCAUUUCUCAGAUUUCUGGUUUCCUCCCUUCUUUCCAUCUAUGCAACAUUUAGAACAUAACAUGCCCUCGAUCUCCUUUCUUUAUUCUUAUUCAUUUUGAUAAACGUGUCAUUUUUUUAUAAAGACUAAAUUUUCCUGUAGAUUCUCCAAUGGUAACAUGACAGAUUUGAUGUCAACCCUUCAGUUAAGUGAUUAAUUUUCUGCCAGGCUAACAAGCAAACAAUACCUGCAGAAUCUUCUUCCCUAGUCAUAGAGUGCAGGGCAUGUUAUAAGAUAGUUUCUACCUGCAGUGAUCUUAGAUUAUCAAUAAAAUGGAAAGGAGGGUAGCAUUUAUUUUAGCAAAUUAAUUAAGAAAUUUGUUUAACCACACUGACAAGAGUACAGGAUUAUCAAAAAUUCCAAUUCAUCUUCUUAUACAGGAAACAUAGCUGAAUGUAAUAGGAAGGGACCAAUACAAACUGUGACUCUCUAAUCAUUUAUUUCUCCUAUUAUACUCUACUUGCCAGAAUUCAACAACCUGGUAAUAAUCUGUCCAAACUGUGAUUCCAUAAAUGACUUACACAACUGAUCAGAUUAGAGACCUCACAUCCUACUUGUCUUAGGAAAUGUCCUCUCAGACAUGCCAGAAACAAUGUUGUGGAAUCUCUUAGACUCCUCAGUGCUAUCAAGAGACUAGGAUUAUACAUCACUGAUUGAAGACACUUCUGUAACACAAUGUUCUUUUCUACUACAUGUCCACACACACGUGGGAUUUUUGAUCUGUCUGGAAAUUUCCUGAUUAGCUUGAUUCUUAGUAAUUCUAUAGAUUUUGAAAUUAUGGCUAUCUGGAAUUUUUAUUUCUGUAUUUUUUCUAAUGGAUUUUUUGUUCAAACUAAAACAGUAUAUAAUAAUGCUUUUGAGAAGCCAUGCUACUAUCCUAUGUUACCCUGCAGAUUCAUAGCCCAUUUACUGUUUCAAGUGGAUGUCAAAGCAUUUAGAAUAAUGGAUAUGUUAUAUGUGUUUGUGUGUAUUUAAACAUAAAUACUAUAUACAUCUAAAUAUUUAAAAUAAUGAUAACCCUCUUUAAUUGUUCCACUUGUUAAAUCAUGGUCUGACCAUAUGUGUAACCUUGCACCUGCUUUCAACAUCAUACAUCUAAGAUUUCCUGCUUGCUCUACCUCAUCUUACCUAGCCUCAGCUUUUUAAAAUAAUCUUUGUUUUUACAUUGUGUACAAGAGGGUAUUGUCUGCAUGCUGCCCAUACACCAUAUAAAUGCAGUACCUUUGGAGGCAAUAAGCACAGUGAGAUUCCCUGGAACUAAGCUCACUCUAUUGUGAGGUUCCAUGUGAUCCUUGAGAGUUGAACUCUGGUCAUACACAAAACAAUAGUCUUCUUAACUGUUUAAUGAUCUCAUGAGUUCUUGUCUUCAUUUUUAAAAUUAAGCAAGUAGGGAACCAUGGAAAGGGGGUUGUCUUUAAAAAUUCUUAGGAACAUAUGGUGAGAGAAGAAAAUUGGCUUCGGCAAUUUGCCCUUUGACUUUCAUACAUGUAUUAAAUAAAUAAUCUACUUAAAAACAUUCUAAAUAAAUGAAAUAUAAGUAAAGUCAAAUAAUUACAGUACCAUUUACAUGCCGUAAAACUUAUUCUUUUUAGAUAUGCCGUUUUCUUUAAUAUAGCACAGAUUUACUGUCUCCUGACCACAGUUUUUAAUAUUUAGAAUAUCUGUAUCAUUUCCAGAAUUCCCUUUGUUGCUUUCAUGAUUAUGCCCUCAUAUCAGACUCUGAUAAACAUUGCUUUCCCAUUAUUCCAUGUUCUUGCAUUGAUAAAAAAAAUCUGUCUCCUCUUUUUUUUUCAUUUUCUUUUUUAUUAUCUCUUCCUUUUAUUUCUUUUCCUUUUUGAGGCUAAGAGUAAACACAAUGUGCACAGCUUGCUUGGGAAACACUCUAUUACAGAGCUAAGUUCAAAAGCUAAGUGAAUGAACUUUGGUUGUUUAUUAUUGAUAUUGAGGUAGCUUGUACAAGCUGUUAAUAGCUAAGUUUCCAGCAUCUAUGCUAUUUCAAUUAGGCCAGACCUGUUUACAUUUUUAUGUGUUGCUACAUAUAAGUGGGUUUUUAUUUACAGCUCAAUAAUAUUUUAUCGUUAGAACAAAAUUUAAGCAUUUGUUAUUUGAUGUGUAUUUGGGUGAUGUCUUAGUUAGGCUUUCUAUUGCUGUGAAUCUUACAGUUCCAGGUAAUGGUUCAUUUCUGAGGAAAUCAGUUCAGAAACUGAAGCAGGACAGGAAUCUGGGGGCAUCAACUAAAGUAGAAGCCAGAACAAUGUUUUCUGGACAUUGGUUCCAUGGCUUGCUUCAUUUGCUUUUUUUUUUCUGUUAUCACCAUGACCACCAGCCUGGGUUGGUCAAUGGCCAUGCUUGGCUAGGUCCUCUCACAUUAACCAUUAGUCAACAAAAUCAACACACAAAUAUGGUGAAGAUGUUUUUCCAAUUAAGAAUCCCUCUUCUCAAAUGAAUCAGAUUAUAUGCAAUUGACAAAACAUUAAACAGAGCACAUGUUUUAAAACGUUCUGCAACAUUCAAACAGUUCUGGGUACAAUUUAUUUCAGAACUUAAUGGUGUUGUAAUUUAUUUUUUGACUUCCUGUUCUGAAAAUGUGAUUCACAUUCAAUAAAAGUAUAUGCUAGUUACUCUUAUCAUUUCCAUAAUCAAACACUUCUCAAACACAAUUUAGGGAAAGAAGAGUUGAUUUGGAAUUGUUUUUGGGAUACAGUCAACCAUAGUAGGAAGGCGUGGUGACAGGUGUGUGAAGAAACCGGUCAUGUUAUAUUUACAGCCAGGAAUCAGAGAGAGAUGAAUGCAGGUGUUUUGUCUGCAUCUUUCAUCCCUUUUCUAUUUAGACCAAGACUCCAGCUCAUGGAUUGUCUCACGAAUAUUUUGAGUGGAUCUCCUCAGUUAACCUGGAAAACCCUAUGACAAGAAGUUUUAUGCUUGGGAUGCUGAAUAGCUGUGGUGGGCCCUGCUCCCAUUCAGCUGCACUAUCUCAUGUGCUUUACUGUACAGCAAAUGGCCUUUGUGUUCCAUAAUUUCCACAGUCGUUGAUGGAUGUAGUUCAGGCCCUACUAUGUAGUGUUCAGCUAUGGCAAUUGUCAGGCUACAUGCAUAAAUGUGGUAUAUUCUCCAUCCAAAAAUUAAGACAUAUCUACAGGACUUUCUGGAACAUGUUUCCAGUUCUCUAAGAGGAUUAUUGAUGCAUGUCUAAUAAACAUGGGAUUAACUUCAUAGGAAACUUUCAGAGACGUCUCCAGAGGAUGGAAUAAGUCAAUGAUUUUGUAGGUAGCAUCAGAAUUACUUAUUGACACGGUUAAUAGCAUAUAAAUAUCCUUUAAUUCCUCAAAAGUAUUCACUUUUAAAUCACAUCAUUGUGUUUGACACAUUUGAAUGAAUUUGUAUGUAGGAUUUGAAGGGUGAGUCAGUAAUCUUUUCUUUAUUAAAUAUUCACCUAUGAAUAUCCAGUUCUUUUUCUACUGAAAAUGUUUGAGACACCAUCCUUAAUUUAAAAUUAUCUUGGUGCCAUUAGAAUUAUGUAAUGACCACAGUCAAGUAGGUGUAUUUCAGAGAUGUCCCUUUAUUCAUUGACUACAUGAACUAAUGACUACAGGUAUUUAGAAAUCCUGAAAUCAAACAAUGUGUCUCACCUAACUUUAUUCCUCCUUAAAAUUAAGUUGUUGUUAGAACAAGUCACUGCAAACAUUAUUAUAUUAUGAGUUACAAAGAUUGCUUAGUGGUUAAGGUCAUUUAAUAUUCUAGUAAAGAACCUAAUAUAGUACACAACAUCCACCUCAGGGUAAUCACAACCAGUUAUAACUAGGGAUCAAGGGUAUUUGUAGUUAAGUACCACUUUAGGGUUCAGAAGACACCAAAAUGUGCCUAUUACAAAUAGAAACAA
rnacentral:sRNA from 1 species